CUUGGUCAUUUAGAGGAAGUAAAAGUCGUAACAAGGUUUCGUAGGUGAACCUGCGGAAGGAUCAUUAUCGUACUACAGAGGUGCUCAGGUUGUCGCUGACCUUUUUGGUCGUGCACGCCCGAGUGCUCUCAAUCCAUUUCACCCUUUGUGCAUCACCGCGCGGGGUCUCUUCCUCUUGGCUUGCUUCAAGAGGGGGAGGUUCGCGUUUUUCAUACAAACACCCUUCUAGUUUAGAAUGUCAUUCAUUUGCGAUCAUACGCAAUCAAUACAACUUUCAACAACGGAUCUCUUGGCUCUCGCAUCGAUGAAGAACGCAGCGAAAUGCGAUACGUAAUGUGAAUUGCAGAAUUCAGUGAAUCAUCGAAUCUUUGAACGCACCUUGCGCCCCUUGGUAUUCCGAGGGGCACACCCGUUUGAGUGUCGUGAAAUUCUCAAACCUUCUUGGUUUCUUGAAUCAAGAUGGCUUUGGACUUUGGAGGCAUUUGCUGGCUUUGCGAAAAGCCAGCUCCUCUUGAAUGCAUUAGUGGGGUCCCCUUUGCCGAUCCCCAGGCGUGAUAAGAUGUCUUCUACGUCUUGGGAUUUGCUCUGUUCCUUGGGAACCCGCUUCUAACCGUCUCACUGGAAGACAUUGUUCGAGCUUGCUCGMCCCACGAACCUUGACCUCAAUCGGGUGAGACUACCCGCUGAACUUAAGCAUAUCAAUAAGCGGAGGA
rnacentral:rRNA from 1 species